rnacentral:rRNA from 1 species
GAGUGGCGAACGGGUGAGUAACACGUGGGUGACCUACCUUCGAAUGGGGGAUAACGUCCCGAAAGGGACGCUAAUACCGCAUAACAUCCUGUCCUUGAACGGAUGGAGAUCAAAGCCGGGGAUCGCAAGACCUGGCGUUUGAAGAGGGGCCCGCGUCCGAUUAGCUAGUUGGUGAGGUAAUGGCUCACCAAGGCGACGAUCGGUAACCGGCCUGAGAGGGCGGACGGUCACACUGGGACUGAGACACGGCCCAGACUCCUACGGGAGGCAGCAGUGGGGAAUUGUUCACAAUGGGCGCAAGCCUGAUGACGCAACGCCGCGUGGAGGAUGAAGGUCUUCGGAUUGUAAACUCCUGUUGCCCGGGACGAAAAGCUUCGACCUAACACGUCGAAGUCUGACGGUACCGGGUGAGGAAGCCCCGGCUAACUCUGUGCCAGCAGCCGCGGUAAUACAGAGGGGGCAAGCGUUGUUCGGAAUUACUGGGCGUAAAGGGCGCGUAGGUGGCCUUCUAAGUCGAACGUGAAAUCCCUGGGCUCAACCCAGGAACUGCGUCCGAGACUGGGAGGCUUGAAUCCGGGAGAGGGAUGCGGAAUUCCAGGUGUAGCGGUGAAAUGCGUAGAUAUCUGGAGGAACACCGGUGGCGAAGGCGGCAUCCUGGACCGGUAU